UGCCAGCAGCCGCGGUAAUACGGAGGGUGCAAGCGUUAUCCGGAAUCAUUGGGUUUAAAGGGUCCGUAGGCGGGUAAUUAAGUCAGAGGUGAAAGUUUUCGGCUCAACCGAAAAAUUGCCUUUGAUACUGGUUAUCUUGAAUUAUUGUGAAGUGGUUAGAAUAUGUAGUGUAGCGGUGAAAUGCUUAGAGAUUACUUAGAAUACCGAUUGCGAAGGCAGAUCACUAACAAUAGAUUGACGCUGAUGGACGAAAGCGUAGGUAGCGAACAGGAUUAGAUA
rnacentral:rRNA from 1 species